AGAGCGAACGCUGGCGGCAGGCCUAAUACAUGCAAGUCGAACGGAUCCUUCGGGAUUAGUGGCGGACGGGUGAGUAACACGUGGGAACGUGCCCUUUGGUUCGGAACAACUCAGGGAAACUUGAGCUAAUACCGAAUGUGCCCUUCGGGGGAAAGAUUUAUCGCCAUUGGAGCGGCCCGCGUCUGAUUAGCUAGUUGGUGGGGUAAAGGCCCACCAAGGCGACGAUCAGUAGCUGGUCUGAGAGGAUGAUCAGCCACACUGGGACUGAGACACGGCCCAGACUCCUACGGGAGGCAGCAGUAGGGAAUCUUGCGCAAUGGGCGAAAGCCUGACGCAGCCAUGCCGCGUGAAUGAUGAAGGUCUUAGGAUUAUAAAAAUUCUUUCAGCGGGGACGAUAAUGACGGUACCCGCAGAAGAAGCCCCGGCUAACUUCGUGCCAGCAGCCGC
rnacentral:rRNA from 1 species